rnacentral:snoRNA from 1 species
GUCCAAGGUGAUUCCCUCUCCAUGGGGCCAACUAAUGCCCUUCUCAGGAACGUAGCAACUUGGAAGAAAACCUGGUAUGCCUAAGGACUUGAGGGAGCAAGGGAUGCACAUUUCCUUUGCUUCACUUUGGCUGCCUACAUGC